rnacentral:rRNA from 1 species
GACGAACCGUGCGAACGUUAUUCGGAAUCACUGGGCUUAAAGCGCGUGUAGGCGGAUGGGGACGUCGGUCGCUGAAAUCCCCCGGCUCAACCGGGGAACGGGCGCCGAAACGCCCCGUCUGGAGGGACGUAGGGGGACCUGGAACUUCCGGUGGAGCGGUGAAAUGCGUUGAGAUCGGAAGGAACGCCCGUGGCGAAAGCGAGGUCCUGGACGUCUUCUGACGCUGAGACGCGAAAGCUAGGGGAGCGAACGGGG